rnacentral:rRNA from 1 species
GACGAACGCUGGCGGCGUGCUUAAUACAUGCAAGUCGAACGCCCUCGACCUUCGGGUCACAUGAGGGAGUGGCGAACGGGUGCGUAACACGUGAGAAACCUACCCCGGAGUCGGGAAUAACUCGAGGAAACUCGUGCUAAUACCCGAUACCCCCACCGGAUCGCAUGGUCUGGUGAGGAAAGUUCCGGCGCUCCGGGACGGUCUCGCGGCCUAUCAGCUUGUUGGUGAGGUAACGGCUCACCAAGGCAUCGACGGGUAGCUGGUCUGAGAGGACGAUCAGCCACACUGGGACUGAGACACGGCCCAGACUCCUACGGGAGGCAGCAGUAGGGAAUCUUGCACAAUGGGCGAAAGCCUGAUGCAGCAACGCCGCGUGAGGGACGAAGGCCUUCGGGUUGUAAACCUCUUUCAGCAGGGACGAAAAUGACGGUACCUGCAGAAGAAGCCCCGGCCAACUACGUGCCAGCAGCCGCGGUAA